GGGUGACCUGAAAUUAUAAUAUUCAAUGUUCAUGCCCUUGCUACCUAGGUCGAAUAUGAGGAGUUGAAAAAUGCACCAAGGAGAUUGAUUUGUGUUAGAUGAUGAAAUUAAGGAUAAAUGGAACAUAGGUGAGUAAGCACAGAUCAAUCUUGGAUCACAAAAUGCUGGAGUAACUCAGUGGGACAGGCAACAUCUCUGGAGAGAAGGAAUUUGAAACCCUUCUUCAGACCCGAAGCAUCACCCAUUCCUUCUCUCCAAAGAUGCUGCCUGGCCCGCUGAGUUACUCCAGCAUUUUGUGUCUAUCUUCGAUUUAUACCAGCAUCUGCAGUUCUUUCCUACUCAACCUUUGAUCUGAUUGAUUCAUGGAUACUGAUUGAGAAGCCUCUUCCUGCUUCUAUAUUCCCAAGUCUUGACCUCCUGGACUUCUCCAGCCCUUUUCUUCAUGUGCAGCAUCCCAUUCUUAGUGCAAGAGGAAGAUUUCACUGUUUUGUAACAAACAAUGUUUUCUCAAGUGUGUUUGGUGUGUGGUGAAUGCAGUGCAUACAUCGCUUUUACACAAACAGAUCUUAAUCAUGUCAACCUUCGAGGUUCCCCAAUCUUGUGACAUGACCACUUUCUACAGUGAGGUGAGACUAGACAGCAAAUUAUACUUCAUGGAAAAACUGUAAUCUUAUUGCGGGUCUAGAAUUGAUAUUUAUUAUCAAUUGAGGUUAAAAUACACUAACAAUCUCACUCCUCCUGGCAUAAGCCAACCAUGCUUCAUUUUGCUGGUAGACAAAAAUGCUGGAGAAACUCAGCGGGUGAGGCAGCAUGUAUGGGGCGAAAAAAAUAGGCAACGUUUCGGGCCGAAACCUAUCUGCUUCAUGUAGCUGUAGUUCAGGUAUCAUCCACAUGAUGGCCCCCUCGUUCUUCUAUUCUCCAUGUUUGUUACCCUGCAGUGAAUUAAGAUUACGGUUUGGGAGUAACUUGAUUUUUUUUCCAGUAGAAUCCUACAAAAUAAUAUUUGAAAAUAAAAUCAGUUGCAGCUGCUUGCAGCAAAUCGGUACUUGUGUCUGGCAAAAAAACGGGACAUUGAUCUGGCACCAAAAAAGAUUUCCUCCAUAUAUAUAUAACUUGCAGAGAUGCUUCUUUAUGUUCCCCAACUUUUUUUUCCCCUUCCAAUGUUGAGUUACAUGCAUUCUAUCAGCCCUUCAUUGCCUGGAACUUAUGAACACGAGGAGCCAUUUUGCUCCUUGAGUCUGUUCAUUGAACAAGAUCAUUUAACCCUUUAAUAUAUUUACUGGAAAAUAAGUUACCUUGCUCAGCUUUGAUAUGUGAAUUUCACCCCCAACCUCAGCAGCCAUUUGCGGAUGGAAUUCCUGAUUUCCUCGACAUUUUGUAUGAAGUAGUGUUUUAAGAGGUGGCACUUAGAUGGCCAAAUGUUAAUGUAUUUUUGUGGUACUAUGGAAAUUUGAAAUUAGAUAGAAUCUUUGAAAUGGUCGUUAGCUCAGCCAGCACAUCUGAAGAGAGAGGCAGAGUUGAGAUCAUGUCUUCACAUCAGGAAGGUCUAAUCAAAUUGAAAUCUGCUUUAUUUCUCACCAUGACCACUGGGUAUAUCAAUAUAUUCUGUUUUUUUUUCUGGACACCCUUAUCAGAGAAGAUAAGUUUUUCCUUAUCCUCCCUCCCAUAUCUCUUAAUUGCCUUAAAUAUCUCAAUUAGAACAUCCCUUGUAUCUGAAGAUCAGUGAGAGGACAAUGGUGCCAAUUCUAAUCAUUUUCUUCCGUAAAAGGCACCUUUCAAGAGGCGUUCCGGAGUGUGAUACUUUGUAGAACCCUAUUCUGAUUUCUGUUUAUACUUUUGCUUCAAGGGCGGCAUGGUGGCACAGCGGUAGAGUUGUUGCCUUACAGCGCCAGAGGCCUGGGUUCGAUCCUGAUUACGGCUGCUGUCUGUACAGAGUUUGUACGUUCUCCCCGUGACCGCGUGGGUUUUCUCCGACACUUCACAGCAAUUGUACAUUGGCCAGACGGAUGCUGGGAGUGGGAGUGUGUGGGACCCAAGCCUGAUGUUUCAAUCCUAUCUGAAGGCCAUCCUUGUGCCUGAGGCUCCCAAUAGGAGAAUAAAAUGUGGAAAGAUUCACCAACAGCCAUGGCAAAAAGUCAACAGUUCCCUACCACACAUUCCAUGGCAAAAUAUUUGAAAGUUUAAUUGGAAUGAAUAUAGUAUACUUCAUUGUACAAGUUAGAUUAAAAUGAACAAAUCAUCUAAAUUAUGUGUUAUCAUAAUAUGAGGUACAUUCACAUGUGAAGGCCAGGUCUGCCACACAAAUCAAGAUCCUCAACAGUGCAAGCUAGCCUGCUAUGAUCUCUACAAAGUUAUCAAGGAUGCCAAGAGACAAUACCAGGACAAACUUGAGUCCCAAUAUAAUCAUUUGGAUACACGCAGAAUGUGGCAAGGGCUGAAUACUAUAACUGGCUGCAAAGCAAAGUCAAGCAACAUCGCUGGUGAUAGUGCGGCCCUACCUGAUACUGAACGCUUUCUAUGCUUGAUUUAAGCAGACAGCCAACAGGGCGAUGACAUCUGUCCCAUCAGACUCAAGUGUGCCUCUUCCAAGGGUCACUGUUGCAGAGGUUAGAUCAGCCUUCCUGAGCCUGAACCCAUGGAAAGCAAUUGGCCCCAACAGUGUUCCUGGCUGCGUCCUUGGUAGCUGCACACACCAGCUAGCGUGAGUAUUCAUGGACAUCACUACUCUGUCUGAGAUACCCACUUGCUUCAAGAAGAUCAUCAUCAUCCCGGUGCUGAAGAAAAGCAAGAUCUCAUGCCUUAAUGAUGACUGUCCAGUGGCGUUGACAUCCAUCAUGAAAUACUUUGAGAGGCUAGUUAUGGAAUGCAUUAAAUCCAGUCUACCAAGCAGCCUUGACCCACUGCAACCUGCCUACCACCACAACAAGUCCAUGGCUGAUGCCAUCUCCCUGGCUCUACACUCAUCCCUGGAAUACCUGGAUGAGAGAGACACCUUUGGCAGACUCCUAUUCAGAGACCACAGUUCUGCUUUUAACAUCAUUAUCCAAUCCAAGCAUAUCACCAAACAAGCAGGACUUGGAGUCAGCACUCAUCUAUACAACUGGAUCGUCUUGCUGACCAAUAGACCCGAAUCAACGAGGGCAGGGGACAAUUCAUCCUCUAUGAUAAUCCUUAACACUUGUGUUCCGCAAGGAUGUGUUCUCAGCCUCCUUCUUUACUUCAUGUACACCCAUAACUCUGCAGCUAAGUACAAAUUCAAUUCAAUUUACAAAUUCAUAGACGACAUCACCAUUGUGGGCCAGAUAGCAAAUAAUGAUGAGAUGGAGCACAGGAAGAAGAUUGAGAACCUCGUGACCUGGUUUCAAGACAACAACCUUUUCCUCAAUAUUAGCAAGACAAAGGAGAUAGUGAUCAACCUCAGGAAGCAAAGCGGUACUCAGACCCCAGUUUGCAUUGACGGCGUCGAAGUAGAGAUGGGUGAAAGCUUCAAAUUCCUAGAAGUAAAUAUCGCCAACAACUUGUCCUGGACCACCCAUAUUGAAGUAAUCACCAAGGAAGCAACCCAAUGUCUAAUUCUUUAGCAGCGCCGGAGACCCGUGUUCUAUCCCGACCAUGGGUGCUGUCACUUUCUCCCCGUGACCAGCAUGGGUUUUCUCUGACAUCUUCGGUUUCCUCCCACACUCCAAAGAUGUACAGGUUCGUAGGUUAAUUGGCUUGGUAAAUGUAAAAAUUGUCCCUAGUGGGUGUAGGAUAGUGUUAAUGUGCAGGGAUCGCUGUACGGCGCGGAACCGUUGGGCUGAAGGGCCUGUUUUUGCGCUGUAUCUCUAAUCUAAUCUAAACUAAACUAAACUAAAAGGCUUAGGAAGUUUUGAAUGUCCCCAAAAUUCUCACCAACAUCUACAGAUGUGCCGUAGAAAGCAUUUUAUCAGGUUGCAUCACAGCUUGGUUUGGGAAGAUCUCCAUCCAAGACCGCAAGAAAUUGCAGAGAAUUGUGGACACAGCCCAGCUCUUCACACAAACCAAUCUCCCUUCCAUUAGUUCUUCAGUCUGAAGAAGGGUCUCGAUCUGAAAUGUCACUCAUUCCCUCUCUCCAGAUAUGCUGCCUGUCCUGCUGAGUUAAUCCAGCAUUUUGUGUCUACCUUCCAUCCAUUAACUCCAUUUAUACUGUACCACAUGCUGCCUCACUGUGAAAACUCACACCAGUUAUCAGGGACAGUGUUUUCCCAGCUGUUAUCAGGCAACUAAAUCAUCCUACGAACAACUAGAGAGCAGUCCUGAGCUACUAUCUACCUCAUUGGAGACCAUCGGACUAUCUUUGAUCGGACGUUAUUAGACACCAUUUGCACUAAACAUUAUUCACAUUAUUCUCUUAUCAUGUAUCUGUACACUGUGCAUGGCUCAACUGUAAUCCUGUAUUGUCUUUCCGCUGUGUAGGAAGGAAUUGCAGAUGCUGGUUUAAAUCGAAGAUAGGCACAAAAAAGCAGGAGUAACUUGCGGGACAGGCAGCAUCUCUGGAGAGAAGGAAUGGGUGAUGUUUUGGGUCAAGACCCUUCUUAAGACUGUUUUUUUCGCUAACUGGUUAGCACGUGACAAUAUACUAAACUAAACAUAACAGGCUGAUUUAAAUGAUAGGAUCUUGAUUUAAAGAGGCUUUCCUUUUUCAAGGAGGGAAAAGAAAGCUAUUAUGCAUUAGAUUGAUUGAUUGAAAGACAUUGGAUGGGAAACAGGCUCUUUGGCCCACCAAGUCUAUGCCAACCUUCCAUCACCCCUUCACACUAGUUCUAUAUGAUUAUACUUUUGCAUCCACUCUCUCUAUACUAGGGCUAAUCUACGGUGGCUAAUUAAUCUGCAUUAAGGGGCUGUCCUAUUGCGGCGACCUAAUCCGCUAGUUCUGGUGAGUUUGCCCUCAACUCAUACUCGCAGCAUGGUCGACACGAGGUCCUAGGAGGUCUUUGUAACUCUCCUUCAUGCUGGAAAGUAGUCCAGCACGUACUCGAGGCCUCACUAGGUCGCGGCGUAUUUUUCAAUGUUGAAAAGUGCCCGCGAGUAAAAAAAGGUCGCCAUGGAAAAAAUCGAUACUUUUUUUACUCCUAGGUUUAGUCGAAGUAGGUUGUAGAGGUCGGCAUGUUAUUCGUAAGUAAUCGAGGGUAGUCGAAGGUAAUCGAAGGUAGUCGUAGAUAGUCUUCAACAUAGUCGAAGGGAGGUCGAAGGAGAUCGAAGGAGGUCGUCUUCACGCUCCACUAUUCGGUGUCCAAUUUUCCGAAGCUAGUCGAAGCUAGUCGUAGCUAGUCGAAGCUAGUCUUCAACAUAGUCGAAGGAGGUUGAAGGAGGUCUUUUACAUAGUCGAAGGAGGUCUUCAACAUGGCAUUUUUUCAAACUCUCCUAAACUCUUCUAAACUAAAGGGUGGGUGGGAUGCAGUCCACUGGCAUUGGUUAUAGUUUGAAUUUGGGAGCAGUGCUAUUGGCCAGGACUUACCGGCAUUUAUUUCAACGGCUGAUUUCUUACCUGUAUAAAGGCAGGCGCCAGGAAGCCAUGUUAGUUUAUGUACGAGAGGGGUUCACCGACAGCUGAGUCAUGAUUAGUGCCACGGCCGGAAGCAGAGAGAGAGAGAGAGGGAGGUGUGCUGCUGUAAACAGGACCCCGCGCAUACCAAGACAAGUAUUGCUUUUAUUCUCUCUUGCCAAUAAAACUGAUUUAUAACUAAACACAUGUGAGCCUUUUACUGUUCUACUAGUCAGAUCCCUGAACCUGUUCCCUUGAAACAGCUACAUUUCAGAAGUGGUUUUGUUCAAACCAAGGCCUGGUCUCUCAGGUGGAUAUAUAAUUCCACAACACUGCUGCAAAGGGUGGAAGUUCUUCCCAAAUGAGGUGGCAGUAAUUAUCCCAGCCUAAGGCAACUAAGCCAGAUGAUCUUGAUAAGAUAAUGAUCUUAUUGUAGUCUGUGAGUGAUCAGUAUGUUCAUAGUACUGAUCAAGGGUAUACUGAUACUGAAGAAGGGUUUCGACCCGAAACAUUGCCUAUUCCUUCGCUCCAUAGAUGCUGAGUUUCUCCAGCAUUUUUGUGUACCUUUGUUCAUAAUGACUAUUAUGUGGUCUAUAAAGAUAGGUACCCAAUGCAUUUAAUUCAUUUAAAAAUGCUUUGUGAGGUCCUAGUGUCAUAAAAAAAGAAUAUCCAAUGAAAAUGAGGCCUGUGGUUAAUUUGGGUCCCAAAUCUAUUUAUUCAACAACUAGUUCCCUUUGGAAUUCACCUUGCGUCCAAUGUGUCUCCCAAUAUUUCGGAGAGGCACAUUCACAAUAACUGAUUACAAUUCUGCAUUAAUUACCAAUUCUAUUUUUUUAUAACCAAAUGAGCAACAAAUUCAAGAAAGCCACACAGGCAACCAGGCAAGCACAGGCCCAGCGGGUUGGUUCUGAUGUGGUUCGGUCGCUCGGCAGAGGCAAGUCGUGCCAUCCGUCCACUGCAGAGUAGCGAGACACCUGUGUCCACUCGUCUGUUCAACCAUAUUAACCCAAUGAAGAAAUAAUUUGGAGAGAUUAUCACUUCAUGUCACAUUUAUCAUGCACCCUCCACCACAAUGUCUGGCACACUACCUGAGUAACUCAGUGUGGGUAAGAACAUCAUCAUUGAAUUUCAUUUUCUGUGUCCGUUUCUGCGCAAAGUAUUGGAUGGAGCAAACAGUUCUGUUCCAAGGUGUAAUCAUGCUUGUGACUCCCACUGCAGUUAAUGACAUUGUUGGUCCAAUUUCAACAUUGGGUGAUUAGCUCCAUUAAUAAUUUGUAGCAGUAUUGCUCGGAGGUUGCAAUUGUUGCAAAGCUUGGGUGAACAUAUCUGCAAUGUUCGGAGUUGCACGUCUGCUGGUUAACAAUUUAACAGUGCAACUGGAAAAUCUGUACAUUCAUAAAGCAAACUGAGCAGGAGGCUACAGGCUACAAUGCGGUUUCAUGUGUCUUGUCCUGGGCCUGCAGCACUCCUCGACCCAAAUCACUGGAUUUGUUACAAGCUGUAGGAUGGCUACUGAUG